GGUUAAGCGACUAAGCGUACACGGUGGAUGCCCUGGCAGUCAGAGGCGAUGAAGGACGUGCUAAUCUGCGAAAAGCGUCGGUAAGGUGAUAUGAACCGUUAUAACCGGCGAUGUCCGAAUGGGGAAACCCAGUGCAAUUCGUUGCACUAUCGUUAACUGAAUACAUAGGUUAACGAGGCGAACCGGGGGAACUGAAACAUCUAAGUACCCCGAGGAAAAGAAAUCAACCGAGAUUCCCCCAGUAGCGGCGAGCGAACGGGGAGCAGCCCAGAGUCUGAAUCAGCUUGUGUGUUAGUGGAACGGUCUGGAAAGUCCGACGGUACAGGGUGAUAGUCCCGUACACCAAAAUGCACAGGCUGUGAACUCGAAGAGUAGGGCGGGACACGUGGUAUCCUGUCUGAAUAUGGGGGACCAUCCUCCAAGGCUAAAUACUCCUGACUGACCGAUAGUGAACCAGUACCGUGAGGGAAAGGCGAAAAGAACCCCGGCGAGGGGAGUGAAAAAGAACCUGAAACCGUGUACGUACAAGCAGUGGGAGCACCUUCGGGUGUGACUGCGUACCUUUUGUAUAAUGGGUCAGCGACUUAUAUUCUGUAGCAAGGUUAACCGUAUAGGGGAGCCGCAGGGAAACCGAGUCUUAACUGGGCGUUAAGUUGCAGGGUAUAGACCCGAAACCCGGUGAUCUAGCCAUGGGCAGGUUGAAGGUUGGGUAACACUAACUGGAGGACCGAACCGACUAAUGUUGAAAAAUUAGCGGAUGACUUGUGGCUGGGGGUGAAAGGCCAAUCAAACCGGGAGAUAGCUGGUUCUCCCCGAAAGCUAUUUAGGUAGCGCCUCGUGAACUCAUCUUCGGGGGUAGAGCACUGUUUCGGCUAGGGGGUCAUCCCGACUUACCAACCCGAUGCAAACUACGAAUACCGAAGAAUGUUAUCACGGGAGACACACGGCGGGUGCUAACGUCCGUCGUGAAGAGGGAAACAACCCAGACCGCCAGCUAAGGUCCCAAAGUCAUGGUUAAGUGGGAAACGAUGUGGGAAGGCACAGACAGCCAGGAUGUUGGCUUAGAAGCAGCCAUCAUUUAAAGAAAGCGUAAUAGCUCACUGGUCGAGUCGGCCUGCGCGGAAGAUGUAACGGGGCUAAACCAUGCACCGAAGCUGCGGCAGCGACACUAUGUGUUGUUGGGUAGGGGAGCGUUCUGUAAGCCUGCGAAGGUGACCUGUGAGGGUUGCUGGAGGUAUCAGAAGUGCGAAUGCUGACAUAAGUAACGAUAAAGCGGGUGAAAAGCCCGCUCGCCGGAAGACCAAGGGUUCCUGUCCAACGUUAAUCGGGGCAGGGUGAGUCGACCCCUAAGGCGAGGCCGAAAGGCGUAGUCGAUGGGAAACAGGUUAAUAUUCCUGUACUUGGUGUUACUGCGAAGGGGGGACGGAGAAGGCUAUGUUAGCCGGGCGACGGUUGUCCCGGUUUAAGCAUGUAGGCUGAUUGUCCAGGCAAAUCCGGAUAAUCAAGGCUGAGGUGUGAUGACGAGGCACUACGGUGCUGAAGUAACAAAUGCCCUGCUUCCAGGAAAAGCCUCUAAGCAUCAGGUAACAUUAAAUCGUACCCCAAACCGACACAGGUGGUCAGGUAGAGAAUACCAAGGCGCUUGAGAGAACUCGGGUGAAGGAACUAGGCAAAAUGGUGCCGUAACUUCGGGAGAAGGCACGCUGGUGUGUAGGUGAAGUCCCUGCGGAUGGAGCUGAGACCAGUCGAAGAUACCAGCUGGCUGCAACUGUUUAUUAAAAACACAGCACUGUGCAAACACGAAAGUGGACGUAUACGGUGUGACGCCUGCCCGGUGCCGGAAGGUUAAUUGAUGGGGUUAUCCGUAAGGAGAAGCUCUUGAUCGAAGCCCCGGUAAACGGCGGCCGUAACUAUAACGGUCCUAAGGUAGCGAAAUUCCUUGUCGGGUAAGUUCCGACCUGCACGAAUGGCGUAAUGAUGGCCAGGCUGUCUCCACCCGAGACUCAGUGAAAUUGAACUCGCUGUGAAGAUGCAGUGUACCCGCGGCAAGACGGAAAGACCCCGUGAACCUUUACUAUAGCUUGACACUGAACAUUGAGCCUUGAUGUGUAGGAUAGGUGGGAGGCUUUGAAGCGUGGACGCCAGUCUGCGUGGAGCCAACCUUGAAAUACCACCCUUUAAUGUUUGAUGUUCUAACGUUGGCCCCUGACCGGGGUUGCGGACAGUGUCUGGUGGGUAGUUUGACUGGGGCGGUCUCCUCCCAAAGCGUAACGGAGGAGCACGAAGGUUAGCUAAUCCUGGUCGGACAUCAGGAGGUUAGUGCAAUGGCAUAAGCUAGCUUGACUGCGAGCGUGACGGCGCGAGCAGGUGCGAAAGCAGGUCAUAGUGAUCCGGUGGUUCUGAAUGGAAGGGCCAUCGCUCAACGGAUAAAAGGUACUCCGGGGAUAACAGGCUGAUACCGCCCAAGAGUUCAUAUCGACGGCGGUGUUUGGCACCUCGAUGUCGGCUCAUCACAUCCUGGGGCUGAAGUAGGUCCCAAGGGUAUGGCUGUUCGCCAUUUAAAGUGGUACGCGAGCUGGGUUUAGAACGUCGUGAGACAGUUCGGUCCCUAUCUGCCGUGGGCGCUGGAGAAUUGAGGGGGGCUGCUCCUAGUACGAGAGGACCGGAGUGGACGCAUCACUGGUGUUCGGGUUGUCAUGCCAAUGGCACUGCCCGGUAGCUAAAUGCGGAAGAGAUAAGUGCUGAAAGCAUCUAAGCACGAAACUUGCCCCGAGAUGAGUUCUCCCUGAGACUUUAAGUCUCCUGAAGGAACGUUGAAGACGACGACGUUGAUAGGCCGGGUGUGUAAGCGCAGCGAUGCGUUGAGCUAACCGGUACUAAUGAACCGUGAGGCUUAACCUU
rnacentral:rRNA from 1 species